AGUGAACGCUGGCGGUAGGCCUAACACAUGCAAGUCGAACGGCAGCACAGUAAGAGCUUGCUCUUACGGGUGGCGAGUGGCGGACGGGUGAGGAAUACAUCGGAAUCUACUUUUUCGUGGGGGAUAACGUAGGGAAACUUACGCUAAUACCGCAUACGACCUACGGGUGAAAGCAGGGGAUCUUCGGACCUUGCGCGAUUGAAUGAGCCGAUGUCGGAUUAGCUAGUUGGCGGGGUAAAGGCCCACCAAGGCGACGAUCCGUAGCUGGUCUGAGAGGAUGAUCAGCCACACUGGAACUGAGACACGGUCCAGACUCCUACGGGAGGCAGCAGUGGGGAAUAUUGGACAAUGGGCGCAAGCCUGAUCCAGCCAUACCGCGUGGGUGAAGAAGGCCUUCGGGUUGUAAAGCCCUUUUGUUGGGAAAGAAAAGCGGCAGGUUAAUACCCCGCUGUUCUGACGGUACCCAAAGAAUAAGCACCGGCUAACUUCGU
rnacentral:rRNA from 1 species